AUAAACGCUGGCGGCGCACAUAAGACAUGCAAGUUGAACGGACUUAAUCGAAAUAUUUAUAUUUUGAAGCGGUUAGUGGCGGACUGGUGAGUAACGCGUAAGGAACCUGCCUAUUAGAGGGGAAUAACAGUGAGAAAUCAUUGCUAAUACCGCAUAUGCCAUAGAUAUCACAUGAUAACAGUGGGAAAGGAGCAAUCCGCUAAUAGAUGGCCUUGCGUCUGAUUAGAUAGUUGGUGGGGUAACGGCCUACCAAGUCGACGAUCAGUAGCCGGACUGAGAGGUUGAACGGCCACAUUGGGACUGAGAUACGGCCCAGACUCCUACGGGAGGCAGCAGUCGGGAAUAUUGCGCAGUGGAGGAAACUCUGACGCAGUGACGCCGCGUAUAGGAAGAAGGUUUUCGGAUUGUAAACUAUUGUCGUUAGGGAAGAGAAAGGACAGUACCUAAGGAGGAAGCUCCGGCUAACUACGUG
rnacentral:rRNA from 1 species